CCUACGGGUGACAGCAGUGAGGAAUAUUGGUCAAUGGACGAGAGUCUGAACCAGCCAAGUUGCGUGAAGGAUGACUGCCCUAUGGGUUGUAAACUUCUUUUAUAUGGGAAUAAAAUGUUCCACGUGUGGGAUUUUGUAUGUACCAUAUGAAUAAGGAUCGGCUAACUCCGUGCCAGCAGCCGCGGUAAUACGGAGGAUCCGAGCGUUAUCCGGAUUUAUUGGGUUUAAAGGGAGCGUAGGUGGAUUGUUAAGUCAGUUGUGAAAGUUUGCGGCUCAACCGUAAAAUUGCAGUUGAAACUGGCAGUCUUGAGUACAGUAGAGGUGGGCGGAAUUCGUGGUGUAGCGGUGAAAUGCUUAGAUAUCACGAAGAACUCCGAUUGCGAAGGCAGUUCACUGGACUGCAACUGACACUGAGGCUCGAAAGUGUGGGUAUCAAACAGGAUUAGAUACCCUUGUAGUC
rnacentral:rRNA from 1 species